GAUGGUGAUGGAACACAUGAACACCAGCGACCUCACAUACUCCAUCUCUAAAUGAAUCCAACGACACAUAAUCUCCACUCCGAUGCGAACCGAAUCGCAAGUCGAACGAGACCUAGCAACCGAUAGGAAAAUGGAAAGAAAGGAAGGCAAGGCGAAUCAAAGACAUUACUCUGAAUCGCAAUCCAAAUCCAGGGAUCGAAGGAAUCGCGGGGAAGAAGGAUUCGAAGGUUUAGUAGGUUGCGUUCUUUCAGAAAGGUUGAAGCGGUUGAUAAGGAGCGAUGGUGGUUGAGGAGAGGUUGAUGAAGCGCGAAGGUGGUUGAAAGGAUGUGGACGGUGGCGCGACGGCAGAAGAAAGGAUGUUGAUGGUGGCACGACGGAGGGAGAAAGGAUAUGGAUUGUGGCGUAUUGAAUCACAAGAUUGCGGGAAUUUAUGGUGGUGGUUAUGGAGGAUUGAAGAAAAAGUUUGUUAUCGGUGGAAAGAAAAAUGGAAGAGUGAGGAAGAAGAAUUAUGGAAAAAGAAUUGAAGGGGGCCAAAAUUUGUUGCUAAUCAAGGUAUUUAUAGAAUUUGAAGCUUACGUUUCUGGAUAUUUCAAUGUUGUUUUGCCUUUGCUGCAUUCUGCUUGCGUUUCAUUUCUAACUUGAAUGUGUUUUCACUUGCCACUGCAUUUUGGUUGCAACCUUUGUAUUGCUAUGUUGCCGCUGCGUUUCUGCCAUUUUGGCCUUGGCUGUUGCCGUUUUGGAUUGCGUUGCGCGUUUUUGACUGCAACCUUCAUGUUAUUAUCGUUACCGAUAUGGUGUACUGCAUACUAACUUGCACAUUUUUCCUUUCCAAUUUCUUCUUUUCAUUAUUUCAUUCAAAUGGAUGGAUUAGUUGGUUUAUGAACAAAUUGUGAAUUGUAAUGUUAAUGGAUCUAAGUGGAUUAUUGAAAAAUGAAAUUGGAUAUGGUUUAGUA